rnacentral:rRNA from 1 species
UACGGGGGGGGUAAGCGUUGUUCGGAAUUACUGGGCGUAAAGGGCUCGUAGGCGGCCAACUAAGUCAGACGUGAAAUCCCUCAGCUUAACUGGGGAACUGCGUCUGAUACUGGAUGGCUUGGAUUUGGGAGAGGAAUGCGGAAUUCCAGGUGUAGCGGUGAAAUGCGUAGAUAUCAGGAGGAAUACCAGUGGCGAAGGCGGCUUUCUGGGCCUAUCCUGACGCUGAGGAGCGAAAGCGUGGGGAGCAAACCGG